UACGUAGGGGGCAAGCGUUGUCCGGAAUCAUUGGGCGUAAAGCGCGUGUAGGCGGUUCGGUAAGUCUGCUGUGAAAGUCCAGGGCUCAACCCUGGGAUGCCGGUGGAUACUGUCGGACUAGAGUACGGAAGAGGCGAGUGGAAUUCCCGGUGUAGCGGUGAAAUGCGUAGAUAUCAGGAGGAACACCUGCGGUGUAGACGGCUUACUGGACCGCAACUGACGCUGAGACACGAAAGCGUGGGUAGCAAACAGG
rnacentral:rRNA from 1 species